CCUGAACCUGUGUCUAAGAAGGGUUGUUGGCUAACACAAGGUCCUCCUAGUAAUAAGCUAACGUGCACAAUUAUUUAAUAUUUUAUUAAUCGCCAGCGACAUUUCCCGAGAAAUUGGAUUGUUUAUCUUGACUCGAAGUCGUCGGGGAAUCACGACGGUGUUUAAAAAGGAAUAGUUUCAUUCCUCCUGUGCGUUCAGUGACGAUGGCAAAUUCUUCCUCAGAUAACUCUGCCAACGACACGAGUGCCACCCCCAAGAUGGUAGACUGGUUGUUAGGUCUUCUGGCACUGCAGGCUCAGUGUCAAGCAGAUGCCAAGUCCACCAAGGUAGGUUCAUCACCCCACCCUUCACAUGUGCUCUAAGUAGAGCUCGCAUGAACUGUUACUUAACCCCACUAAUUUGUUUCUGAACCUAUAAUCUCUCUGGUUGAUCUUCAGCAGGUGAGUUAUAGCUCCAUCUUAGCAUUGUAUAGUUAGUGCAGAAACUGCAGUUUCACUCAGCUCAUUUGUUUCUUAACUUAAACUAACCUUUCUAGUGAUCCCAUUCAGGUGAGUUGUAUGUAGGUUCAUCUUAGAUUAUGCUUGCAAGAACUGUGGUUACACUAAAUGCUUUUUACAUAACCUUUGUGGGUGAUUUA